AAAAGGACAGUCGGAAGAAAUUC
rnacentral:piRNA from 1 species